rfam:Trametes versicolor FP-101664 SS1 unplaced genomic scaffold TRAVEscaffold_6, whole genome shotgun sequence.
GGCGAGAUGGCCGAGCGGUCUAAGGCGCCAGACUAAGGUCGUUCUCCGCAAGGAAAGCACUGAUAUCUGGUCCGAAAGGGCGUGGGUUCGAAUCCCACUCUCGUCA